rnacentral:ncRNA from 1 species
AUAAAGUUUAAUUUUAGCUUAAAAAUUAAUUUAAUUUUUUUUUUACAUGUAAAUUUUUUUGUGAAUUAUAAAUAAAAUUUUAAAAAUUUAUUUAAUAUAAUUUAUUCGCAGUAUUUAAUUUUAAUAAUUUAAGAAAUUAAGAAUUAUAAAUAAAUUUUAAUAUUAACAAAUUUUGUGCCAGCAGUUGCGGUUAUACAAGUAGAUAUAAAUUAAUUUUAUUAGUAAAUAAUUAUAUGAUAUUAAAAUAAAAAUAAAAUUAUAUUUAUUAAGUGAAAUUUUAAAUAUAAAAAAAAUUUAAAAUAAUUUUUUAUUAUUAUGAAAUUUAUAUUUAAACUAGGAUUAGAUACCCUAUUAUUUUAAAUGUAAAAAAAUAUUACUAAAGUAGUAUUAGUUAUGUUCUUGAAAUUUAAAAAAUUUGGCGGUAUUUUAGUCUAUUUAGAGGAACCUGUUCUAUAAUUGAUAGUCCACGAUUAACUUUACUUAUUUUAUAAAUUUGUAUAUCGUCGUUAUAAGAAGAUUUUAUAAGAAUAUUUAAUUUUUAAUAUUUUUAAUUAAAAAAUAUAUCAGAUCAAGAUGCAGUAUAUAUUUAAGUAGAAAUGGGUUACAAUAAAUUUAUUUAUAAUGGAUUAAAAAAUUAAUGUUUUUUAUGAAGGUGGAUUUAAUAGUAAUUAAAUUUAAUUUAAUUUAAUGAUUUUAGCUCUAAAAUAUGUACAUAUCGCCCGUCGCUCUUAUUAUAAGGUAAGAUAAGUCGUAACAUAGUAGAUGUACUGGAAAGUGUAUCUAGAAUGAC